rnacentral:rRNA from 1 species
AAAACAUUUGAGUGAGUGGCGGACGGGUGAGUAACACGUGGGUAACCUGCCCUAAAGUGGGGGAUAACAUUUGGAAACAGAUGCUAAUACCGCAUAAAACCUAACACCGCAUGGUGUAGGGUUGAAAGAUGGUUUCGGCUAUCACUUUAGGAUGGACCCGCGGUGCAUUAGUUAGUUGGUGAGGUAAAGGCUCACCAAGACCGUGAUGCAUAGCCGACCUGAGAGGGUAAUCGGCCACACUGGGACUGAGACACGGCCCAGACUCCUACGGGAGGCAGCAGUAGGGAAUCUUCCACAAUGGACGAAAGUCUGAUGGAGCAACGCCGCGUGAGUGAAGAAGGUUUUCGGAUCGUAAAACUCUGUUGUUGGAGAAGAAUGUAUCUGAUAGUAACUGAUCAGGUAGUGACGGUAUCCAACCAGAAAGCCACGGCUAACUACGUGCCAGCAGCCGCGGUAAUACGUAGGUGGCAAGCGUUGUCCGGAUUUAUUGGGCGUAAAGCGAGCGCAGGCGGUUUCUUAAGUCUGAUGUGAAAGCCUUCGGCUCAACCGAAGAAGUGCAUCGGAAACUGGGAAACUUGAGUGCAGAAGAGGACAGUGGAACUCCAUGUGUAGCGGUGAAAUGCGUAGAUAUAUGGAAGAACACCAGUGGCGAAGGCGGCUUACUGGACGGUAACUGACGUUGAGGCUCGAAAGCAUGGGUAGCAAACAGGAUUAGAUACCCUGGUAGUCCAUGCCGUAAACGAUGAGUGCUAGGUGUUGGAGGGUUUCCGCCCUUCAGUGCCGCAGCUAACGCAUUAAGCACUCCGCCUGGGGAGUACGACCGCAAGGUUGAAACUCAAAGGAAUUGACGGGGGCCCGCACAAGCGGUGGAGCAUGUGGUUUAAUUCGAAGCAACGCGAAGAACCUUACCAGGUCUUGACAUCCUUUGACCACUCUAGAGAUAGAGCUUUCCCUUCGGGGACAAAGUGACAGGUGGUGCAUGGUUGUCGUCAGCUCGUGUCGUGAGAUGUUGAGUUAAGUCCCGCAACGAGCGCAACCCUUAUUACUAGUUGCCAGCAUUUAGUUGGGCACUCUAGUGAGACUGCCGGUGACAAACCGGAGGAAGGUGGGGACGACGUCAAAUCAUCAUGCCCCUUAUGACCUGGGCUACACACGUGCUACAAUGGAUGGUACAACGAGUUGCGAGACCGCGAGGUUUAGCUAAUCUCUUAAAACCAUUCUCAGUUCGGAUUGUAGGCUGCAACUCGCCUACAUGAAGCCGGAAUCGCUAGUAAUCGAGGAUCAGCAUGCCGCGGUGAAUACGUUCCCGGG